GGAAAAUUUCUAAGACUGUCAAAACCAAAUACAAACUCUAUGAAGAGAAGUUUUAGUUAUAUGGGGGCUAAGACCUGGAAUCAGCAUCUAAACGAUAAAUUGUAAAUAUUAUAAUUGUAUUCUCUUACUUGUAAAUAUUACACGGCCCUAUGAAAAUCAAUAUCAAUUGAUAGGUUACCGUGUAUAAAUAUAAUUAAAUACAAAUACAAAUACAAAUACAAAUUUAGUAUGACAAAUCC